GAUGAAGAACGUAGCGAAAUGCGAUAAGUAAUGUGAAUUGCAGAAUUCAGUGAAUCAUCGAAUCUUUGAACGCACAUUGCGCCCUCUGGUAUUCCGGAGGGCAUGCCUGUUCGAGCGUCAUUUCGACCCUCAAGCAUUGCUUGGUGUUGGGGCACCGCCUGUAAAAGGGCGGGCCCUGAAAUCUAGUGGCGAGCUCGCCAGGACCCCGAGCGUAGUAAUUAUAUUUCGUUCUGGAAGGCCCUGGCGGUGCCCUGCCGUUAAACCCCAACUUCUGAAAAUUUGACCUCGGAUCAGGUAGGAAUACCCGCUGAACUUAAGCAUAUCAAUAAGCGGAGGA
rnacentral:misc_RNA from 1 species